rnacentral:lncRNA from 1 species
UCCCAGUCUACAUUCCGUGGCAGCCUGGCUCCAACAUCCCAGGGAAUUGUGUCACUCCCAUUGAGCAGCUGUGGGGCCCUCUCCCACAUGGCCCAGGUCCACCACUCUGUCAAAGGUCGCACAGCCCAGACAAAAACAGGACACAGCAGUGUGUGAAUGAGCCGGGCUUUCUCCUUCCCUCCACGUAAUAGAAGGUGCCUGAGGUUGUUGAAACACAGUCCAUUUCUCCUGGGAAUGACAAGAAUUUGAGGGAUGCUGACUUUCAAGGAAUACUGCAUGACAGGCAUCAAGAUAAACCUGAUGAAGAAAACAUAGGCCAGAAUCUGGGAAUCGGGAGCAAAGUAAUACAGCUUCGGGGACAGGCACGUAAUGAGGUCAUGAUGUAGGAGACUCCCUGCAGGACUGGCGGCCCCUGUUCCCUGGGUUGUUCUGGCUCUUUCAGUGCAGGGACGCAAACACAGGAAGAGCCCCCAUGGCCCUCGCUGGGAAAGACGGGCUCACUCGUUGCACGUGAGCACUGCAGACCAACAGCAUCACAGAAAGGAGGCUCUCCUGCCGUACUUGUGACUCAUGUCUUAAAGAUACCCCAAGAGAAUUGAACAAAGCUCUAUCGUGAGAUCCUUCUGAGGAGAGAAUAAAAAGGAAAUAUGUAUUUUACUUUUGUACAUGGAAUUUCCUUUUAAUUAAAAUCCUUGGUGAUUUUAAAAUAUCAGGUUCCUAGGAGGGUGGCUGUGCGUGACUCGGCUCACGCUGCUGCCGUGGGCUCCUGGGCGCUGGAAGAGCACUCUCAGGUGAAACAUCUGAGAGCCGAAGGUUCCAAUCCCAAUCAUUUUUUGUUUUGUGCAGCCCAUGGCUCUGCCUUUAGUCCUUGUUCACGUCUCAAAAUGGAUAAUGAGUGGCUUUCCUCUUCAUUCAUUUAUAGCAAAGAUGUAAUAAAUUAUUGAAAUCGGGGGAACUGUACCACUUCAUUUGCACUCCCCAGGGGCAGGUGCUAGGUGCUGAAAGUACACAAGCAUUUUCUUAUUGUAUUCACAUGAAGCAUUUGUCAUUCUCUGUAAGUACACAUUGGAGGAGACAUUGCUGCUAAUUCCGUAUUGAAGUGGGUAAUACCACCAAUGACCAAGUAACCUCGGCAAAGCAGAGACAGCUAGAGCGGGAAGAGUCUUCUCUUCUUGGAAGGAAUUUGCAAGGAAGACAG